CUCAGAUUCCAGAUUUUCAAAUACAAUUGUCACGGUUCAUGAAUCGGCUGUCUCACACUGAGGUGUCUGUGUGAGUGUAAUUGUGUGGGUGUGGUUACUCAUUGUGUUGAUUAGUGUCACCAGCUGUCGUUGAUUUCACCUCCCUUUAUAUGUCAGUAAAUUCCCUCUCAUGUUGUCAGAUCGUUGUGGUUGUUCCCUGGUGUGCGUCCUGUUCUUGUGUCUCGUCAAGCCCCGUUCUCCGUUUGGAUUUCGUCAGUUCUUCGUGUCGUUUGGAUUUCGUCAGUUCCUCGUGUCGUCUGGAUGUUCAACGGUUCCUGGGGUUCUCUUCACGCUCUUCACCGCACCACCACCGGAUCGCCAUCUCGUCCCUGCUUCACCACCACCUGAGUGUGAGUGCUCCUCCCCCAACAUGGAUGAAAUCCUCCACUGGCUCACUGAGGUUAGCUUCCGCCACCAACAGAUCGUUGAGCACCUCGCCACCCAUCAAGGGGAGACAGAGCAGGAGCUUGCAUCCCUUUUUGCCGCCACCACUAAGCUGCUACCCAAGCUGACCCCCCCAUGAUGAUGUGGAAGCAUACUUGGAGAUGUUUGAAACCACGGCAACCUCGGAGGGAUGGCAUACAGACGACUGGGCAGGAGUGCUGGCUUCCUUGCUGACGGGUGAAGCCCAGCGUGCAUACUUCUCUCUAACCGCCGCCUCCGCUGAUCAGUAUACGGUGGUCAAGAUGGAAAUUCUAGCUCGCCUGGGGUUAUCUGUGCUGCUCAUUACUUCCACGAGUGGGAAUAUAAGCCCCGUCUGCCGGCCCGUGCCCAGACCACAGAACUCACACGACUCGCGCAGUACUGGCUGCUGGAGGGGGCUCCAUCAGCUAGUCAGGUCGCAGAACAUGUCGUGAUAGACUGACUUCUCCAAGCCCUUCCCUGAUCUCACCGGGAGGCAGUUGGGAUGAGGAACCCAACCACCAUCUCGGAGCUCGUGGAGACUAUCGAGCUGGUGGAUGUGACCCAACAUCGGGAUGCUGGGGAGCGUGCGCCACCGUUUCCCCGGAGGGUGGUCCAGGAGCGACGUGCGCUGGAGGGUACCCAGUGACCAGUAAGCAGGCCGGUGGCUCACUCUCUGCAGGAUAAGCCCAUGCCAACGGAGGCCCCCGCAUUUCCCAUACGGACCUGGCUGGCAGGCUGUAUUGUGCACCGUGACCUGU
ensembl:lncRNA